AACGCGGAGCGGAGCCGCGCGCGGGGAGCGGGGCGGAGCUGCCCGGGCAGCACCUCCCGCCCGCCGGCUGCGAGGGGAGGAGAACGGGCGGGAGGGGAGGGACGGAGCCGGCUCUGGGACGGCCGCCCCUGCCGGCCAUCGGCCCCCGCCGGCCAGCGGGCCCCGCGCCCCCUUCCCUCCCUCUCUCUCGGCCACCUGCAGCCUCCGGCGGGGACGCGGGCCCCGCACCUGCCGUCCGCCAGCAGCGCCCUCAGGAGCGGCACCGGGCGCGGCGGUGAGGGGGAAGAAUCGAGAACGAAAUAAAUACAAGUAGACAAAUAGUGCUAGAGGAGGAACUGGGGCACAAGGAGUGACCUGACACCAACAGCCGGACACCGAGCGCUGAGCGUCACUGCUCCGAGGGCACGGCACAGGGAACGGCAUGGCAACACUGGGAUAACUGCAGAACAAAGCAAACUUCAGAAGAGUUACUGAGAUACUGAGGAAUCCUCCAACACAAGAACCAACCUCUGUUCUCUGUUUAUACCAAAAUCUACCAAGAACCAGUCUUGCACAACUGCAUCUGUAACACUGACAUAAGAUGGAGCUGCUUUAGAAUGUCCUUCCUGAAGACAAAACAAGAUACUGAAGUUCAUUCAGUCUCAGGUUUGGCCCCAAAGAUUUUCUCAUUUUCCUAAUAAAUCUCAAAAUAUUCAGAA